rnacentral:rRNA from 1 species
GGGGACUCGUGAGAGACUGCCGGGGUCAACUCGGAGGAAGGUGGGGAUGACGUCAAGUCAUCAUGCCCCUUAUGUCCAGGGCUUCACACAUGCUACAAUGGCCGGUACAAAGGGCUGCGAUGCCGUGGGGUGGAGCGAAUCCUUUCAAAGCCGGUCUCAGUUCGGAUCGGGGUCUGCAACUCGACCCCGUGAAGUCGGAGUCGCUAGUAAUCGCAGAUCAGCAACGCUGCGGUGAAUACGUUCCCGGGCCUUGUA